rnacentral:rRNA from 1 species
GAUGAACGCUGGCGGCGUGCCUAAUACAUGCAAGUCGAGCGAACAGAUAAGGAGCUUGCUCCUUUGACGUUAGCGGCGGACGGGUGAGUAACACGUGGGUAACCUACCUAUAAGACUGGGAUAACUUCGGGAAACCGGAGCCAAUACCGGAUAAUAUUUCGAACCGCAUGGUUCGAUAGUGGAAGAUGGUUUUGCUAUCACUUAUAGAUGGACCCGCGCCGUAUUAGCUAGUUGGUAAGGUAACGGCUUACCAAGGCGACGAUACGUAGCCGACCUGAGAGGGUGAUCGGCCACACUGGAACUGAGACACGGUCUAGACUCCUACGGGAGGCAGCAGUAGGGAAUCUUCCGCAAUGGGCGAAAGCCUGACGGAGCAACGCCGCGUGAGUGAUGAAGGUCUUCGGAUCGUAAAACUCUGUUAUUAGGGAAGAACAUACGUGUAAGUAACUGUGCACGUCUUGACGGUACCUAAUCAGAAAGCCACGGCUAACUACGUG